rnacentral:lncRNA from 1 species
AGAGUUUCCAAAAUACAUCAGUAGAUAUGAAGGAUCCAUAAGCCAAAUUAACAAAGUAUCCUAAGCACGACAAGUUAUAUGCAUCCAGUUCACGAAUUUCUGAUGCACAAGUCAGCUUUCUGAACUGGAACCAUUUGGCUCCAUUCCGCUAGCUACUUACAUUCCACCAAAUACAGCGACCUUUCGAAAGGUUCACUCCUACGAAACCCAUAAACCAAUACUAUUUUUAUAUGAACAAUUGGAACAUGCCACUGAUAAGCUGAUGCAUACAUUGUCCUGCAGGAUUAUUAUAAGCGCAUUUGACUAUAUUGUUGUGCACCACCCAAAAGUGAGUUCUUUGUGUUUUAUGGGUUCCUGAAGUUUUGAACCUUGCGAAUAAACCGUCCCCAGGCCUUAAGCUCACAUUUUGCAUCUUUGUCGACUCUCUUCAAGUUUAUCAAACCAAGUAGGAAGUUUGUGCACACCAUUAUGUACAGGAAGAAUCAUCGUCCUUGAUGUGCAAGAUAGUAAAGGCCACUGAGUGGUCUUGGCACACAUCCGGGAGAGGUCGGCAUGGCAUGUCACCCAUUUUGUAUGGUGAUAUGAUUCAACCUGUGUGCACACAUGACUGUUGGCGCCACUAACCUAAUUAUAUAUUGUACCAGAAAGAUAAUACCAAAGCUAGAAGUGAGGAUUGUGCAAAUGCAUGAAGGAUAACAUAUUGUCAAAAUGUUUCCUAGAUUCUCCAUUUGCUCCAAUGAUACUGUAACAAUAGCACGAAAUAUAAACCAUCAUUCCACUCUGCAACAACCCUGCUCCUUGCAUCCAUUCUCAUUCUCUCGAAUAGUGAACAUCAGUAAAAUAUGUUAUAAAGAAAUUCUCUUUCUCUCAAUUUCCAAUAUUCCAUGGAGGCAGGUCACCUCCUGAUGCUUAAGACAUUCUCAUCACAGUGUGUGCUAUAUUAAGAGUUCUCAUUUCAAGUACUAAAUUACAUAUGGUCUUCCCUCCAUUCGCAAAAGUUCACAUAAUGCCUCAACUGUGAGCUCAUUUUUGCUGUCUAUCUUGAUAAAAUUAUCAAAGGUAGUAUUUCAUUCCAGAAAACUACUUGCACGUUCAAAGGCUCACAUUAGUCUAUGAAUAUUACCAUGGCUAAGUCAGGAUGAAAACUAGUGAAUUGGGUGUUCUUUAAUAAGAUGUAUGACCAAAAGAGUUGAUGAAAAAUUUAGCAGCCAGUCUUUUUAAAAUAACUUUACCAAAAAAUAUAAUGAACCUAUCUUUUGCUUAGAAGAAAAAUCAUCUCUAAACUUUAUGUAUGGUUGUGGCCUCAGGUCAUCCCAUCAUUAGGGCCUUAAACUUAGAGACGAAAUAGUCAAGUCAGUCACGGGCCAUUUCUGCAAACAAGCUGGUUAACAUUGAAAAAAAAAGAAAAAAAGAAAUGGUUGAUCGAGCAUGAAAUCUAACCCCACCCACCACUAAAACAGAGAUGCAGACUACUAGGUACCAAGACAAACAACUCUGCCGGUGGCCAUAGCAGAUACAUCUUAGAGGAAAUAUAUCAACUUUUUAUAACUGCUAUAAGUUUUAUUAAAACAGACAUAAUGUAUAACCACUGCAUUGUCAAAAAGGAAGAGGGAAAAGAAAAAGGAACAGUUACCGAUAAAUAGCAGUAUAGCUGACUGUGUCAGAAAUGUCAUCAGAUUUACCAGCAUUGCUCAAGUCCAUCCAAGCAUCCACAUCGAUCACAAACUUUUGACCAAGCUUCUUUUCCUCCAGUUUCACACCAUGAAAUCCAUGAAACUGCAAGCCCCUUAGUAUCAGCUUGUCUUUAUCAACAAAAUCACGGUCACCCAUGGAUGAUGAACCUGAUGAAGUAUAUAAGGUUUCAAUUUUCAGAAUAUGCAACAACAAAAGAAGAUACCUCGAUGUAUUGGCUCCAACAUAUCACUUAAAAAGUAACAUUUAAGUUGGUUUCUAUAAAAAAAAAUUUGCAUUGAUGAAAGGCAAAGAAAUUAAAUAGUAUAAAUGAAAUGCAGCUUGACAUAGAUACCUGCAUCUGCAGAUAUAAGGUUCAAUUAUAUAUCACUACACGGAGGCUUUAAACUUGCAGUUCAAGAAGGAUGCAGGAUAAAGACGAGAUAAACAGAGCUCAAAUAGCCAACAAGCACAAUGCGAGACUUACUGUUCGGUUCUUUAUAUCGGAUUCAAAUGAUAGCAGCUUCCCCAGUUUCAUGAAUGUGCAAGUACACUAAAUAAACAGUACUGACAACCAUAUCUGAAUACCAACCUUUCCUACAUCUUGGUUGCUCCCGACAGCACGUAAAUGGCUAACCUUUUUUCUUUUCGAACGAGAGACAAUAUGGUGACCGGAGCCCGAAAAGACCGACUUAAAUCAACCAAAUCCGAGGAAGACUUUUUUUGCAAAAUUGGAGCUGAAGAUAUCAACGACAAAAAAAAAAACCCAAGAAUGCAAUUUUAAAAACCAGCCGCAGGUUUUCGAGUUUAAACAGCUCGAUGGAACCCAAUACCCUAUCGUGAAGAUCUAUGGACCGAUAUUCUUCACCGGUUUCUAUGACCAAAUCAGGACGGCCCUUCAUUCGAUUGCAAUCCGUAUAUCGUUGCAAAAGAAAACUCAAAAUAACUUGCGAGGAGGCAGAGAUCGAUUACCUUCGCGCAAGACUCCGUCUCCACCAUUCUCUCCCACCCGAUUCCUCGAAGAUGAUAAGGGGGCAGACUCGGGGGCGGGCGCGUGUCCGUUGGUGCCGCUGAGGGGCAAGUCGUCGUCGAGAAGUCCUAAGGAUCAAAUCAGAUCAACCACGGACAGCCACGAGUUGAGGAUGCAAGAGAACGCACGGAAAACCCCGAAGCGCCGGACUUUUGUCUCGCAUAACCUAUUCGAGUCGAGCAUGAAAAAUGAAGUUUUGGCGUUCAAUGCGACCUGUAAGUGGGGCAGAACGUUGGUGCCUGAUUGUAGCCGCGGUGUUGCGGGCCGAUCAGCAAACAGCUUCGUAUCGCAUCAGAACGGCGACGCCCUACCACAGCGCUGACGUCAGUAGCCUGGCCCCAGGGCACCACGAUGACGGGACGGUGUUUCGUGGCUCGGUGAGCACUGCUGCUCACCGGAGGAGACCGAAAGGUAAUUACGGUGCAUUAAAGGCGCCAACAACCGGCGUAAAUACAGAUAACCUUUUUCUUUUUCUCUUUCCUUUCAUUUUCUUAGAUAUUUAUAUAAAAUUAGCUGGAAUUAGCUGGCAGAUGGAGUAAUGGGCAUGAUGAAUGAAUGAUUCGCCAGUGUAAAGUGCGAACGACAAGAGGAUUUGGAAGGAGCGGAAUUAAUGGAUGGAUAUACUGACGAUGGAGAGUGAAUGAGCGAGCGGUGACGUGGUUUUCUGGACGGUGAUAAACCACACCACAAUAUCAUAUAUAGCUUCGAGGGGGUAAGCUGAAUCUGAUCUCCGGUAGUUGGAAAUAAGAAAAGCAACCCUCUUUUAAGAACAUCACAUCACAUUACAGCAAAGGAGACGAAUCCAAGAAAGCACAGCGUCACAAUUAAUUCUUCCUUGAACUCUUCCCUCUCAACGACUACUAUGCUUCCCCCUUGGCCUUCGUCGUAUGUUAUAUAAGAACCCAACUAAACCCAUCAGAGUAACGAGGGGGUGGUGGGUCAAUGGGGUCAACAUAUGUCGACCUACGGAGUCACAAAAGGUUUCACAAGUAAAGGAAGAAGGGAACGAUUGUCACAAAAGGUUUCACAAGGUUUCACAAGUAAAGGUUUCACAAGUAAUGGAAGAGGGGGUGAGAGUUCAUUUACUCGGCAUGCAGCAACUUCCGCACAGGAUCGAGGAGAGGAGGGGCUUCAAGAACGCAGGAUUGUAAGUUUUUCUUUUACCCAUUUCUUAUCUUUUCUUUUCUUUUACCUCCUCCUAAUGUGUAACAAGAAAUAGCUUCGCAUCCAAAGAAAUAGGUGAUGGCAUACCCUCAUAAUAGCGAGCCAAAAAAAAAAUAAACCCAAGAAAAUAUAAUCGGCAAGAAAACACACUCGAAAGCACCACAAAAUUUCACGGAUGACCGAUCGCAUGUAGUUGGAAACAAGAAAAGCCACCCUCUUUUCAGAACACCGCAUCACAUCACCCUCUUUUCAUAACACCGAUCAAAAUUCCAACAACUUUCUUGGGUUUAUUUACUCGGCAUGCAGCAACUUCCGCACAGGACUGUGGGCUGAGUGCACCCACGGCAUGCAGCAACUCUUCUCCCCCUCUCCUCGGUCCUGUGCGGAAGUUGCUGCAUGCCAAGCAUAGUCAGCUCACCCUCUCCUUUGCUGUAAUGUGAUGCGGUGUUCUGAAAAGAAUGAGACUUUUCUUAUUUCCAACUACAUGCGAUCAUACCUCCGUGAAUUUUGUGGUGCUUUUGAGAGUGUUUUCUUGCCAAUUGCAUUUUCUUGGGUUUUUUUUUUUUUUUGGCUCACUACUAUGAGGGUAUGUCAUUUUUUGAUGUGAAGCUAUUUCUUGUUACACAAUAGGAGGAGGUAAAAGAAAAGAAAAGAAAAGAAAAGAAAUGNNNNNNNNNNNNNNNNNNNNACCCUCCCCUCUCCUCGGUACUGUGCGGAAGUUACUGCAUGUCGAGUAAAUGAACUCUCUCCUUUGCUCACCCUCCUCUACUCGGUCCUAUUGUUGCUGCAUGCCAAGUAAAUGAACUCUCCUCUCCUCGGUCUUGACCGUAGAAGUUGCUGCAUGCAAAGUAAAUGAACUCUCUUCUUUGCUCACCCUCCUCUACUCGGUCCUAUUGUUACUGCAUGCUUUCUUGAAUUCUUUUCCUUUGUUGUAAUGUGAUGCGGUGUUCUGAAAAUAGGGUGGCUUUGCUUGUUUCCAACUAUCGGAGAUCAGAUUCAGCUCACCCUCUCAAAGCUAUGAUAUACUCGGUAUGCAACAACUUCCGCACAGGACCGAGGAGAGGAGGGGCUUCAAGAAAGCACGAUGGUGAGUUUUUCUUUUACCCAUUUCUUAUCUUUUCUUUUCUUUUACCUCCUCCUAACGUGUAACAAGAAAUAGCUUCACAUCUAAAGAAAGAGGUGAUAACAUACCCUCAUAGUAGCGAGUCAAAAAAAAAAUAAACCCCAGAAAGUGCAAUCGGCAAAAAAACACACUCAAAAGCACCAUAAAAUUCCACGGAGGACCGAUCACAUGUUCGAUGAUAUAAAUAGAUAAAUACAUACCUUGUUCCAAAGUCUUCCUUCGAUUGGGAGAGGAAGCGGCUCCCUCCCUCGUUUGGCCGACGACAAUGCCUACAACCCACAGGCAGGGGGGGAGAGAGAGAGAGAGACCUGUUGAUUUAAUGUCACCCGUGUCAAAAGAGUAACGCCAUCCCCACCCACCACAACGUAUAACGAUGAGGGCUCCAUCAGAACCCCGCAUAUCGCACGCAGUUACUCAGCCACCGCACAUUCGUCGGGCGCAAACCGCAUCGAGCAGGCCGAAGUGGAUCCCACGUCGCCAUUUACCAAGCGGGUACGAAACCGGGUGAAGUGGUCCUUUGUUUCUUAUUUAUUAGCCGAUCGAUCAACAAGAAGGAUCAAUCGAUCGAUCGAUCGGCUGGGAUUCACGACGGUUCAGCAACACGACUUUUAAAGACACCCUGCCCACUACGUGCGUGGCCAGCAAGUCAAAACACAUGUUCGAUGAUAUAAUAGAUAGAUAGAUAGAUACAUACAUACCUUUCGAUAAGGACCGAUCGCAUCAUCAUCAACACAUCCAUGGUUUGGCAGAGCCUCUUAAUCCACAGAGGACGCUUUUUUGUAUCUGAGGAUUUCAACGCCCAAGUAGUCGAUGGUGCCACGAACGGCCACAUGAGGCUUCCCCACCUUCACCCUCACAGCAGAUAUCUGAGGGAAUUGAAGUAACGUGGUAUUUGCAAUCAAGUGAGCUACCGACUCCAGCAGAUUCUGAGACGGACCCUCCACCACUUCCUUCACUAUCCUGCACAUCCACCACCGACUCUAAUGUAAUCCACAUAUGAUGACAUGCAAUCCAAGUUCUUGUUAGUUUAGCCAAAUAAGAAGAAAAACUUUUUGAUUCACUUGGCAACUCAAGUGAAGAUUUCACGGAAAAGUAGUGACAGCAGUGAUCUAUCAUAUCAUGCUCUCAAAAGCAAAUUUCCUGACCAGACUCUACACUUCUUCCAUCUAUUAACCACACACACACACACACACACACACUAGUAAGCUGAGAAGAAGAUAAUUGCUAUCACAAAGAGAGUUUCCAAAAUAUAUCAGUAUAUAUGAAGGAUCCAUAAGCCAAAUUAACAAAUAGAGCCACCUUUUGAAAUGUUCACUCCUAUGAAACGAAACCCAAACUUCCUCCUGGGAAAGAAUUUGAAGAACCCAUAAACCAAUACUGUUUUUAUAGGAACAAUUGGAACAUGCCACUGAUAAGCUGAUGCAUACAUUGUCCUGCAGGAUUAUUAUAAGAGCAUUUGACUAUAUUGUUGUGCACCACCCAAAAGUGACUUCUUUAUAUGUUUUUUGGGUUCCUGAAGUUUUGAACCUUGCGGAUAAACCAUCCCCAGGCCUUAAGCUCGCAUUUUGCAUCUUUGUCGACUCUCUUCAAGUUUAUCAAACCAAGUAGGAAGUUUGUGCACACCAUUAUGUACAGGAAGAAUCAUCGUCCUUGAUGUGCAAGAUACUAAAGGCCACUGAGUGGUCUUGGCACACAUCCGGGAGAGGUCGGCAUGGCAUGUCACCCAUUUUGCAUGGUGAUAUGAUUCAACCUGUGUUCACACAUGACUGUUGGCGCCACUAACCUAAUUAUAUAUUGUACCAGAAAGAUAAUAACAAAGCUAGAAGUGAGGAUUGUGCAAAUGCAUGAAGGAUAACAUAUUGUCAAAAUGUUUCCUAGAUUCUCCUUUUGCUCCAAUGGUACUGUAGCAAUAGCACGAAAUAUAAACCAUCAUUCCACUCUGCAACAACCCUCCUGCUUGCAUCCAUUCUCAUUCUCUCGAAUAGUGAACAUCAGUAAAAUAUGUUAUAAAGAAAUUCUCAUUCUCUCAAUUUCCAAUAUUCAAUGGAGGCAGGUCACCUCCUGAUGCUUAAGACAUUCUCAUCACAUUGUGUGCUAUAUUAAGAGUUCUCAUUUCAAGUACUAAAUUACAUAUGGUCUUCCCUCCAUUCGCAAAAGUUCACAUAAUGCCUCAACUGUGAGCUCAUUUUUGCUGUCUAUCUUGAUAAAAUUAUCAAAGGUAGUAUUUCAUUCUAAAAAACUACUUGCAAGUUCAAAGGCUCACAUUAGUCUAUGAAUAUUACUAUGGCUAAGUCAGGAUGAAAACUAGUGACUUGGGUGUUCUUUAAUAAGAUGUAUGACCAAAAGAGUUGAUGAAAAAUUUAGCAGCCAGUAUUUUUAAAAUAACUUUACCAAAAAAUAUAAUGAACCUAUCUUUUGCUUAGAAGAAAAAUCAUCUCUAAACUUUACAUAUGGUUGUGGCCUCAGGUCAUCCCAUCAUUAGGGUCUUAGACUUAGAGAUGAAAUAGUCAAGUCAGUCACGGGCCAUUUCUG